rnacentral:rRNA from 1 species
UACGAAGGGUGCAAACGUUGCUCGGAAUCAUUGGGCGUAAAGCGCACGUAGGCGGCUUCGCAAGUCGGAUGUGAAAUCCCUCGGCUCAACCAAGGAAGUGCAUCCGAAACUGCAAGGCUUGAAUACUGAAGAGGAUCGCGGAAUUCCCGGUGUAGAGGUGAAAUUCGUGGAUAUCGGGAGGAACACCAGUGGCGAAGGCGGCGAUCUGGGCAGAUAUUGACGCUGAGGUGCGAAAGCGUGGGGAGCAAACAGG